rnacentral:rRNA from 1 species
GGCUCGGGUCAUCCCGUGGCACGCCCGUCUGAGGGUCGGUGAGUUAAAGCAAUCGCGUCUCUCUUUGUCCUUGCGCCGGCGCUGCGGGUGAGCUCUUGCUCUUUGCUUGCCCGCUCAGUCGUCGGACGAGAGGCGCGCCCUGGGCUUUCGCGGCGGCUAAAGAAAGAGCUGCUCUUCUUUCAUUUUUAGCCUCUCCGUGGCCUCAAGUGCACGCUGCGUCGCCUGUCCUAUAUAUGUUCGCUGCGUUCGCUGCUCGUCCGUCCGUUUCGCUCGGCAGGACCCGGCUCGUUACUUUCGGGCCUGCCUUCUGUCCUAUUAGCGAAGCGGCGGUGCGGGUACGCGGCGCGGCGACGUGCGGCGCCCCUGCCCAUAUGUUGAUAUUUUUUUCUCCGACCUCAGAUCGGACGAGAUUACCCGCUGAAUUUAAGCAUAUAACUAAGCGGAGGAAAAGAAACUAACAAGGAUUUCCCCAGUAACGGCGAGUGAAGUGGAAAUAGCCCAGCACCGAAUCCCUCAGCGUCGCGCUGACGGGAACUGUGGUGUAUGGGACGCCACCAGUCGCGUCAGCAGGCACCGAAGUCCUCCUGAUCGAGGCUUCACCCAGAGCGGGUGUAAGGCCUUUGCAGGUGCCCUACUGUGCGGCCGCGAGCGUCUCAGGAGUCGGGUUGUUUGGGAAUGCAGCCCAAAGCGGGUGGUAAACUCCAUCUAA